GCAUGGAGUUUCCUCUGGUGUGGACAUGAGAUUCCCCUUAGCAUAAGCUAUCCUUGGGCAUGGUGUCUCCCUUAUGGCGGCAUGUGGAAUCCUUUCCAAGCCAUUGAGAUUAGAUCUCAAAGCUCUCCUCUCCUUCUCCUCUGAAGAAGUGCCUCAAGUCUUCAUCCCUCUCUCCUACGUUACUUGACAUGUAUACGAAAGAGAGGAUCUGCACAUCCAAAUCUCGUGAAGCAACUGAUUUC
rnacentral:lncRNA from 1 species